rnacentral:rRNA from 1 species
CCUACGGGUGACUGCAGUCGAGAAUCAUUCACAAUGGGGGAAACCCUGAUGGGGCGACGCCGCGUGGGGGAAUGAAGGUCUCCGGAUUGUAAACCCCUGUCAUGUGGGAGCAAAUUAAAAAGAUAGUACCACAAGAGGAAGAGACGGCUAAAUCAGCGCCAGCAGCCGCGGUAAUACAGAGGUCUCAAGCGUUGUUCGGAAUCAUUGGGCGUAAAGCGUGCGGAGGCUGUUUCGUAAGUCGUGUGUGAAAGGCGCGGGCUCAACCCGCGGACGGCACAUGAUAAUGCGAGACUAGAGUAAUGGAGGGGGAACCGGAAUUCUCGGUGUAGCCGUGAAAUGCGUAGAUAUCGAGAGGAACACUCGUGGCGAAGGCGGGUUCCUGGACAUUAACUGACGCUGAGGCACGAAGGCCAGGGGAGCGAACAGGAUUAGAUACCCGAGUAGUC